rnacentral:misc_RNA from 1 species
AGACCCUCAAGCAUAGCUUGGUGUUGGGUUAGGGUUUUGAAGGACCCACCCGUAACUCGUAGGCGGUCAUUACCCGCGCCCCUGGCGUAGCAAGCUCACGCACUCGCUCGGGGACGGUGUGUGACCAUGUCAAACUAAAACCCCCUAAAG